rnacentral:rRNA from 1 species
GGAGUUCGGUCCGUGUCUCAGUACCGAUGUGUGGGACCUUCCUUUUAGAACCCAUAAGCAUCAUCGUCUUGGUGAGCCGUUACCUCACCAACUAACUAAUGCUACGCAUGCCCAUCCUUUAUCAAUAAAUCUUUAUCAUCUCUCAGAUGCCUAAAAAAUGAACUAUCAGGUAUUAAUUCUCCUUUCGGAAAGCUAUCCCUGAAUAAAGGGUAGGUUGCAUACGCGUUACUCACCCGUGCGCCGGUCGCCAUCACAGAUAGCAAGCUACCUGCAUGCUGCCCCUCGACUUGCAUGUGUUAAGCCUGUAGCUAGCGUUCAUC